UGCUUCGUUCUUGCCAUUAAACACAAGACUUUGAUCUGGGUUGGACCAACACUGUUUGUUCACUCAACUGACUGUAUCGCAGACUUCAGACAAAAACUGUAGCAGCAAGAAGCUCCAAAGUGAGGGAUUUAUUCCUGCUAUGUAAAAGCCAUGGCUGUGAAACCGAUCAUUUCACCUGAAUAUAAAAUUCUCACGUUUGUGCAGCACCAAGAACCUCAAAAGUAUCAAAUUGAAAGGAAGAGGAGCUCCAAAGACUUUUACCCUCCACUGAUGGCCUUUACAAGGAGCAGGCUGCAUGUUGCGGAAAGAAAAUCUCAGCGGUUUGGACAUGGAGAUAUUCCUGACACCAGUCAGGUGACCUGGAAGGAGGUGUUUGGAUCAGCAUCUAGUCAGAGGCACUGAGGUAGACAACAUGCGGACAUCCUUCCAUCCAUCCAUCCAUCCAUCCAUCCUCUACUGCUGUUGUGGGUUUUGCUCCAGAUCUCAUCCUAGUUGGACAAAAACAUCUCGCCUAAGAGCUGUUGGGAGGCUUCACUGACCAGUCAAAAACUCUACCUCUCUAUAGUGACUCUAAACCCUCCAAAAACAACAGAAUCCACCAUCCUCUCUCUUUGUGUGGAAAUAAAAACCUUAAAAAACUGUGAAAGAAAAAGUUGUAUAUAUGCAAUAUAACUGUUUUCAACUGUAUUUAUUAAACAAAUGUUAAGUUA